AGUCGAGCGGUAGAGAGAAGCUUGCUUCUCUUGAGAGCGGCGGACGGGUGAGUAAUGCCUAGGAAUCUGCCUGGUAGUGGGGGAUAACGUUCGGAAACGGACGCUAAUACCGCAUACGUCCUACGGGAGAAAGCAGGGGACCUUCGGGCCUUGCGCUAUCAGAUGAGCCUAGGUCGGAUUAGCUAGUUGGUGAGGUAAUGGCUCACCAAGGCGACGAUCCGUAACUGGUCUGAGAGGAUGAUCAGUCACACUGGAACUGAGACACGGUCCAGACUCCUACGGGAGGCAGCAGUGGGGAAUAUUGGACAAUGGGCGAAAGCCUGAUCCAGCCAUGCCGCGUGUGUGAAGAAGGUCUUCGGAUUGUAAAGCACUUUAAGUUGGGAGGAAGGGUUGUAGAUUAAUACUCUGCAAUUUUGACGUUACCGACAGAAUAAGCACCGGCUAACUCUGUGCCAGCAGCCGCGGUAAUACAGAGGGUGCAAGCGUUAAUCGGAAUUACUGGGCGUAAAGCGCGCGUAGGUGGUUUGUUAAGUUGGAUGUGAAAUCCCCGGGCUCAACCUGGGAACUGCAUUCAAAACUGACUGACUAGAGUAUGGUAGAG
rnacentral:rRNA from 1 species